rnacentral:misc_RNA from 1 species
CAGUUGUAGGUUGUAGUUGAAAUUACUUAGCCUAGUCACAAUAAUUUUUGUCGAGUAUUGGGUGUUGCGUGUCUACACUAUCAAAAAUCUUUGGUUAAGUACUGUUCAUUUUGACUUUUGAUUUUGGUUAGGUAAUUUUAGUGGAAGUUUUUAUUUUACAAAAUUUUCGUGAUUUCAAAUGUGACUGUAUCAUCAACAAAUCAUAUCUGAUUGAAUCUAUCAAGUUAAUAGGAUGGCCAAGAAAUCAUUUACAACCAGUUCUCAAACAUCGGCAACAGAAAGCGGUGAUGGAGAUCGCAACAGUACAAACGGAAGUGCUCUGGAUAUAAAAUCGUCUUCUCUUGGAUCUUCACCGAAUGAGAAUACAGGAUUAUCUUCAAAUCAAACUUAUUUCGCUGAUCGAAAAAUAAUCAUUCCUGAAGUUCCACAUUCUGGCUUCAGUUUCAGAAAACUAUGGGCUUUCACGGGUCCUGGUUUUCUGAUGUCCAUAGCUUACUUAGACCCUGGAAAUAUAGAAAGUGAUUUACAAAGUGGAACGGUAGCAAGCUAUAAGCUAUUAUGGAUACUUCUCAGCGCCACGCUGUUAGGGCUCCUUAUGCAGAGACUGGCGGCAAGAUUAGGUGUUGUUACUGGUUUACAUCUAGCAGAAAUGUGUUACAGACAAUACAAACGUGCGCCUCGAUUAUUGCUAUGGAUAAUGGUAGAGGUAGCUAUUAUAGGAAGUGACAUGCAGGAAGUAAUAGGUACCGCUGUUGCAAUAUAUCUACUUUCAAACAGAACGAUACCUAUUUGGGGAGGAGUUUUGAUAACCAUUGUGGAUACUUUUACAUUUUUAUUCUUGGACAAAUAUGGUCUAAGGAAGCUCGAAUCUUUUUUUGGUCUUCUGAUAACGAUAAUGGGAGUAACGUUUGGUUUUGAGUUUGUAACUUCGAAACCUAGUGGUGUAGAUUUAGUAAAGGGAAUGUUUAUCCCGUGGUGUAAAGAUUGCAACUCUAACGCUUUACUACAAGCAGUGGGUAUAGUUGGAGCCGUAAUUAUGCCACAUAAUCUUUAUUUACACUCUGCUCUUGUAAAAUCAAGAGAAGUUGAUAGAACAAAACCAGAAAAGGUUAAAGAUGCCAACAAAUAUUAUUUCAUUGAAGCAGCUAUAGCUUUAUUCGUCAGUUUCAUCAUCAACGUAUUUGUUGUUGCCGUUUUUGCUCAUGGGUUGUACAACAAAACAAAUCAAGAACUGCAUGAUUCAUGUGUCAAACAUCCGUCUAUCAACGCCUCAAUAUUUCCGGAAAAUACUGAUUUAGUAGACGCAGAUCUCUACAAAGGAGGCAUAUUCUUAGGUUGCACGUAUGGUUUGGUAGCAAUGUAUAUUUGGGCUGUUGGUAUUUUAGCAGCAGGACAAAGUUCCACAAUGACUGGUACUUAUGCUGGCCAAUUUGCAAUGGAAGGUUUUUUGAAUCUCCAGUGGGCCAGAUGGAAGAGAGUUUUAUUCACUCGAACAAUUGCAAUUGUCCCUACUUUUUGUUUAGCAUUCUUCAGUAACCUUGAAGAUCUGACAAACAUGAAUGAUACUUUAAAUGCUAUAAUGAGUCUCCAGUUGCCGUUUGCCACCAUUCCUACUAUAGCAUUUACUAGUAAUCCACUAAUCAUGGGAGCAUUUGUAAAUGGAAUAGGAAACAAAAUAGCUUCGAUAGCUCUCAGUAUCGUGGUGAUAGCAAUUAAUACCUAUCUUGUUAUAAAUACUGUGAAUGAAAUGGAACUUAGCUGGUUCCCACUUCUUAUUGUUGUAGUUUUUGGUAUUAUAUACCUUCUUUUCUGUGCAUAUUUGGUAGUACAUAUGGCAGUAUCAAUGGGAAACACUAAUUUGUUGAGGUACAAUUUCGUAAACAAAUAUGUCAUGGGGCCAGUUGAUGCAACUCUUGACAUAAAUCCUAUUAGUUAUUCUAGUCAAUCUGCAUAAAUCAAGGAUCUUGGGAUUAUGUGCUUCAAUAUGUGACAGUUGUUAAUCUUAAGAAGCUUGUUUCGCCCACUUAGCAUUUAUUUUUGUAAUCUCAAUCAGAAUGGACAUUAGGCAAUAACUCAACCAUAGAGGAUGCAAGAUUCUGAAAAAAUAAAAUCUAACAAAUAUUUUGGGAGAUUUAGAAAUUGCUGUCUAUUUGUGUUUUAAUUUCAUUCAUUAGUAUAGGUCUAAUAUAGUUAGUCAUUAAUAAAAAGCAAUAAAUUAUGCAUGACUGGCUGGUAUUCAUAAAGUUCCUAGUACCUUAUUUUCUGGAUUUCCGUUUUAUGUAUAUAGGUGAAAUUGAAUAUUAUAUGGUGUAUAAUAACGUAACUGUAUAGUAAUUGUAAUAAAUACUCUUUAUAUUAUGAAAACUGAACAACAUUAAAUAUUGAACCCGUACAGAUAUUUUCAACAAAGUUUUUGUAGUUCUUCAACUUUUGUGUGCAUUGUAACUUUUUUACAAAGUGAUGUAAUUGGAUUUGUCACAGUAAAGAAAUUUUAAAGUA